CCCCCCUCCCUUUAUUUCAAUAAGUCGCCUUCUUUAAUGCAUUAUAUAUCCUACACAUUUCCUUUCCUCAAAUCAAUCUGUGGGAGUUGUGGUUGACGCUGUGGUUUCUCUUUUUCAUACACUUAAGGCACUUACGCUAUUUUAAUUUCUUUUAUAAUUUGAUUCCUAUGUAAAAUGUGUAAUUAGACUGUGAUCGUAUCAUUGUGUAAUAACUCAAAGUGUAAUUAUGUAAUAAGACUUUGCUAUGUUGAAUUGCAUUGUUUUGAUGUCAUGAACUAUAUAAAUAUAAAUCUUGUAAUAUAUAGAUAUGAAAAAUAUAAAGUUGACUCUUAACAAAGAACACAAACAAU